CAGGCAUUGUUAUCUUUGACUUUACGGCGAGUGUUCUGUUGUCUGUCGGCUUUCCCUCCGUAUGGAGAUCAAGUUCAGCACGCGAUAAAUCAAACAUUGCCACAGUAAAACGAGCCCUGCAAAGCACAGCAACACCACGAGGAGCGGAGGGACAACACUUGAUCAGGAGGUCAAAUCUCAAAACAAAGCAGAGUCGGACCUCGAAGCGUUCCCAACAAUCAGUUUGCAUCCCUAACAGCUCACCAUGGCUGGCGACAGUUUGUGCCACCAUGGGAGUGUUAUGUUGGCGCUGGAGGGCCGAGACCUUGGAAGGGUGAAUGCCGGAAUGGUGCUGGGGGAAAGUGUGGAGUCCGCCAACACAGCCGUGACGGAUCAUGCUCCUCCACCCGUGCCGCUACAGAGCUCCGUCCGUACCAGAGAUAAUGGAGGAACAUGGUGGAAGGCACGGAACUCGAUUGUGUUGCUGAGCUUCCUCGGGCUGGCGUUAACCUAUAUGGUGAGGGUGUGCCUUUCCAUCGCCAUUGUGUCCAUGGUCACGAGGAACGAGACGGCCAACGCAUCGCAGCUGUCCGACACUUGUCCGGAGCCUAGUAACGGCCCCAGCGACGCUGUUGUUGUUGGAGAGUUUGACUGGAGCGAUGGAACAGUUUCGUUAAUGUUGGGCGCCUUCUUCUACGGCUACACGGCAACAAACUUUGUGGGAGGUCGUGCUGCAGAAUACUUCGGCGCACGACUCACCUUCGGGCUGGGAGUGGUUGUCCCUUCCGUCCUGAGCCUUCUCUCACCUCUGUGCAUCAAUAUCUCCGAGCACUUGUUCAUUGCCCUCAGGGUGCUGGAGGGCAUGACGCAGGGCGUCGUGUUUCCCUCAGUCCAUCUUUUGAUUGCAGCGUGGAUUCCUCCAAAAGACAAAGCAAAGCACGCCAGCAUGAUAUUAUCAGGUGUCCAAGUGGGUACAGUGAUUGGGAUGUCUUUUGGGGGAUGGCUCUGUAAUACCACCUUCUUGGGAGGAUGGCCGGCAGUCUUCUACGUGUUUGGAAGUCUUGGGGUGCUUUGGGGAAUACCUUGGUUUCUUCUCGCACACAAUCUUCCCGAGCACCACCCCAGGAUUUCUCCUUCAGAGUUAGAAUACAUCCAAACAAAUCGACACUACGUCAAGAGGGAUAAGGCCGUGGCCAUUCCCUGGAAGGAUAUCGCUACGUCAAAACCAUUCUGGGCAAUAAUGGCGGCAAGCUUUUGUUACAACUUCAGUUUCUACACUUUGUUAACAGAACUGCCAACAUUCUUCCACAACAUUCUCCACUUCGACAUGAACAAAAAUGCCGUAGGCUCCUCCUUGCCAUACAUACUACAAGGCCUGACGUGCGUGGGCUGGGGAUUCUUCGCUGACCUCCUCCUAAGAAAAAGACUGCUGACUGUCAAUGGAAUAAGGAAACUGUCAACGUCAAUUGCCCUGUACUCAUCGGCAGCGUGCCUGGUGGCCAUGAUGUGGGUCGACUGUAACGCUGUGGUAGCUGUCGUCGUGAUGUGCCUCGCAGUUGGGUUCAUGGGGCCGAUCAACAGCGGCUCGUCUCUCGCCGAGCAGGACAUCGCCCCAAACCUGGCUGGCUCGCUCAAAGGACUAACUAAUACUCUAGGUUCCGCCACCGGUUUCCUGGCGCCCGCCAUCACAGGGGCAAUCGUCAACAAUAAUCAAACCGUGUCGGCGUGGAGCACAGUUUUCCUGAUAUCCGCUACCUUCAACCUGGUGUUUUGCACCGUUUUUUUGAUCUUCGGAACGGAUAGGGUCCAGGAAUGGAACAACCCCAAGCCAGGGAAAGUGAGAGAAGAACCGCCGUUCUGCCCUUCCCUUGACCUUCAAACCAGGCGGGAAGUUGGUUGACUUCGUCUCAGAGUUAGAAGUCAAGGUUCAAGAACACACUCACCAUCAACCCCUCGCAACAGCCGCAGCAUUGCAGGCACAAAGUCACUGACACGACAGGCGAGAGGGGGAAAUUGCCCGCCCUAAGAGAACGACCUGAAUGUGAUAGGCGUGACAGGCACCACUUUGGGAAUCGUAGGGCGAGUACCACUAACAGUCAACUUACAUGAAAAGCAUCAGCGUCAUUCCACGGCUUAGUUUUGCCAGACAUGAAGGAAAGGAGCAGAGCGCAACCCACAAGGGUCACAUGUAACUUUACAUGGAAUGGAUGGCCCUUCCUACCCUCUGAACGUUUACUGCAGCAUGAAGAAAUUCAAGACCUCCCAAGCUGAACGUUCCUAGCUUCAUCAACAGAUGUACACAAGGAUACACAACGAUAUAAGGAGACUACACAAGGUCAGACAGACUACACACGGCAGCUCCUGAAGAUGGGUGUCUCACCAAAUCUCUUCCUUUCCAUUAAUAAAUCUAAUCUCCGUUUAGAAGUUUAUAUUGUGUUUACCUCAUCUAAACACCUGCUCAGUUUGUCCCACCACUGUUCGUGAACCAGUUUUUACCUGUUUCUUUUGUGAACUUUAAUUUAUCUAACUUAUACCCUUUACUGUGUGUUCUCUCUACAACCGUUAAUAAAAGCACAUAAUUUAAAUCGCCCUUGUUAAU